GCAUAAAGUGCUUAGAGGCGGGCACCUGUGUGGAUCUGGGGAGAUCCGCGCACACAGAGGGCUGCUUCUGUGUCGGCUGGUUAGUACUUGGAUGGGUGACCGCCUAGCAAUACCAGCUGCUGUAAGCA
rnacentral:rRNA from 1 species